rnacentral:tRNA from 1 species
UAAAGACACAGAAGAUGAAUAGCGGGUUUAGAACCCGCUCUGCUCUGCCAUCUUUAU